rnacentral:rRNA from 1 species
AGAGUUUGAUCCUGGCUCAGGAUGAACGCUAGCGGCAGGCUUAAUACAUGCAAGUCGAGGGGCAGCAGGUUUGUAGCAAUACAGAUGCUGGCGACCGGCAAACGGGUGAGGAACACGUACGCAACUUUCCUUCAAGUGGGGGAUAGCCCAGGGAAACUUGGAUUAAUACCCCAUUAUAUUACGAAGCGGCAUCGUUUUGUAAUUAAAGCUCCGGCGCUUGAAGAUGGGCGUGCGCCUGAUUAGGUAGUUGGCGGGGUAACGGCCCACCAAGCCUACGAUCAGUAACUGGUGUGAGAGCACGACCAGUCACACGGGCACUGAGACACGGGCCCGACUCCUACGGGAGGCAGCAGUAAGGAAUAUUGGGCAAUGGACGAAAGUCUGACCCAGCCAUGCCGCGUGGAGGAUGAAGGUCCUCUGGAUUGUAAACUUCUUUUAUCUGGGAAGAAAUCUACGGUUUCCAACUGUAGUUGACGGUACCAGAUGAAUAAGCACCGG